rnacentral:misc_RNA from 1 species
AGCAGCCGCGGUAAUUCCAGCUCCAAUAGCGUAUAUUAAAGUUGUUGCAGUUAAAAAGCUCGUAGUUGAAUUUCGGGAUCAAUAUGUUGGUCGUGCCUCGGUACGUACUAGCUUAUUGGUUUCUCCUUUCUGAAGAACCAUGAUGUCAUUUAUUUGGUGUCGUGGGGAAUCAGGACUGUUACUUUGAAAAAAUUAGAGUGUUUAAAGCAGGCUCACGCUUGAAUACAUUAGCAUGGAAUAAUGAAAUAGGACGUUUGAUUCUAUUUUGUUGGUUUCUAGGAUCGACGUAAUGGUUAAUAGGGAUAGUUGGGGGCAUUAGUAUUCAAUUGUCAGAGGUGAAAUUCUUGGAUUUAUUGAAGACUAACUACUGCGAAAGCAUUUGCCAAGGAUGUUUUCAUUAAUCAAGAACGAAAGUUAGGGGAUCGAAGACGAUCAGAUACCGUCGUAGUCUUAACCAUAAACUAUGCCGACUAGGGAUCGGAUGAUGUUAAUUUUUUU